GACGAACGCUGGCGGCGUGCUUAACACAUGCAAGUCGAACGGAAAGGCCCUGCUUUUGUGGGGUGCUCGAGUGGCGAACGGGUGAGUAACACGUGAGUAACCUGCCCUUGACUUUGGGAUAACUUCAGGAAACUGGGGCUAAUACCGGAUAGGAGCUCCUGCUGCAUGGUGGGGGUUGGAAAGUUUCGGCGGUUGGGGAUGGACUCGCGGCUUAUCAGCUUGUUGGUGGGGUAGUGGCUUACCAAGGCUUUGACGGGUAGCCGGCCUGAGAGGGUGACCGGGCACAAGGGGACUAAGGGACGGCCCAGUCUCGUACGGGAGGCAACAGGCGAGAGUAUGGCACAGUAGGCGGGAGCCAGAGGCGGCAGCCCCGCGUGCGGAAUGACGGCCUUCUGGUUGUGAACCACUGUGGCCGGUGACGUGGCGUGAUUGACGGUAAUGAGUAAAGAAGCACCGGCUAACUACGUG
rnacentral:rRNA from 1 species